rnacentral:lncRNA from 1 species
CGCUCUAGUGACGCCGUGUGCCCAAAGUCAAUCUUCCUUUUGCAUUCCCUACUGCAACUAGAUUGUUGAUAUCAAGCAAAUUUUCCUGUACAAAUAAAGCCAAGCAGGACAUGUGAAGCAAGCAUACAUCGGUGAAGGAAGCGCUGCCUGGCCCGAUCAUCGCAAGGAGACUGGUCGUGGAGUCCCUUGUAUAUUGAAUGCAUACAUCUAGGAGCUCUGCAUCCUAAGUGUGGAUUUGGUUUCCUCUAAAUUCUCAUGAACAAAGCUAUCUACAUUGGAGGUUAGCAUCAUCUUGUUGAGAGUUUGAGACUAC